AUAGCGUAUAUUUAAGUUGUUGCAGUUAAAAAGCUCGUAGUUGGAUUUCGGGUGGGUCCUGACUGUCCGCCUUUUGGUGAGCACGGUCAUGGACCUACCUUGCUGUCGGGGACGGGCUCCUGGGCUUCAUUGUCCGGGACUCGGAGUCGACGAGGUUACUUUGAGUAAAUUAGAGUGUUCAAAGCAGGCCUACGCUCUGAAUACAUUAGCAUGGAAUAACACGAUAGGACUCUGGCCUAUCUUGUUGGUCUGUGGGACCGGAGUAAUGAUUAAGAGGGUCAGUCGGGGGCAUUCGUAUUUCAUUGUCAGAGGUGAAAUUCUUGGAUUGACUGAAGACUAACUACUG
rnacentral:rRNA from 1 species